CUUCCUCGGUGGUGGCCAAAGAACUUUCCAGAAAAAGAUAGGAACAUCUUUUCUCAUGACACCUCCAAUUUGCUGGCCCAUGAGCAUGUUCCCUAAGGAAACCCAGGCCCUGUGAUGAAUCCGCUCCCAAAACUGCCCUUUUGCGCAAAGGGUUUCUAAGAAAUCUUAGGACGUGCUACCUAAUACCUCCAUGCCUCCGUUUCCUCAUCUGGAACAUAGGGGUGAAAUAAAACCUACACAGUCACCGAAAGACUGACAAGUUGUGAAGCCUUCGUACUGGCUUCACGACACCCUGACACGGAUACUCUUAUUGCCAGUUGGAAGUGAUAAACUUAGGCAUGCCAGGGUCAGAGGACAGCUUGCAGGAGAUGGUUCUCUCAAUCAUGUGGGGCCCGGAGAGCAAACCCAGAUCAACUGACUUGAACGCUUUCACCCAUCUGGAUGCAAACACAGAAGCUUCCUGAUCCCCCAGACUUGACCUUUUGAGCCCGGACCAAAGAAGAAUCAAGUUGUCUUGCAGCUGCUCUCACACUUGCUGUGGGAUGGAGGCAAAGGGGAAGGAGAAGAAUUUCCCUGGAGGGCGAUGCUUUCCUGGAGAGAAACACACUUCCUAAAAGCAACGCAAGCAUGAUUUAUGCAACGCCGGGCAGUCGGGCUCCUUUUAUUUCUCUCCAGCUCUGAAACACAGGCUGGAGGCUCCUGCUUAUCUUCUAUCCCAGAAGGAGGCUCUGAUCCUUGGAGGAGGGCUUGGUAUUAUGCCAGGAUCUGAAUUAGAAACCACAGCCUUGAGAUGAUGCCAAGUGGGCCAAUUAAGAAGGUGUUGACGACGCUUCCCAGGAACGAGUUUCUAGAUAUUUUAACUUUGAUGGAAAAGUUUAAGCUUCUAAAAAUCCCCCAAGAACCUCAUAUUUUCCAGGGAAUAGUGCCUGGGCUCUUAAGAGCUUCCAAGAAAACAGGAUUCUCGGAAGGUCUUCCGACCUUCAGGCUCACUGGUCCAAUCAAGAGAUGUAUGGAAAAACAAAAGCAAAACAAACUGUGCCUUCUCACACACCCUGAGAGAUUUGAGAUAAGUCUUUAAGAAGUUUGCUGCAAAUUAGGAUAGUGCACCAGCUUUGGAAAAUAAGCUCCCUCCUGUUCUCCCCAUUUUUUGGCUGCUGGGCACGGCAGGGUUGGCCAGCAACAAUGUCAGAAUAAGGGGUUCAGAUUAACACUUUCCCCACCUGGAUUUCCCUCAGAAUCCUGGCACACCUAAUAAUCUCCAAAACUGGCACAAACUGGCUAUUACAAUCUAAAGUGUAAGGGCCCAUCAACCCUGUGUUCUUACUGCAAGCCCUGCAAGGUAGUCUGUCUGUAGAUGAGAAAGCCAAGGACUCGGGAGGAACCAAGAAAUUCAGGGGAAGUUCAGUUGCAAGUGCGACUCAGACGGGUUCAAGCUCACUAUUCCAAUCUAACUUGGGAAUUCCUAAGAACAGGUGAGAGCAAGGUCAUAGCCAGGGUGGUUUGGAGAGUCCGGCUGCUCCCUGGGUUAACCCUUCAGCUCCUGGACCCUGGUGGUGUCACUGGAGUCCUGCAAGAGAGGCCUGACUCUAGCGGGAAGGGAUUCCAACAAAAUAAUAAUAAUAAUAAAUCCAGAUAACGGAAGAAGAAAUGGUGAAAAACAGCAAAGAAAUUUAAUCAGUAUAGCUAUGCUAGCAAGACAAAGGAGAGCAGUGCCCUUAGCUCUGUCCCAAGGAACACUGACAUGAGCUCCCAGGUUAUAGGGGAAAGGGAGAGAGGGUGGGGCAAAAAAAAAUUACACAUAAUCAGUCUCUGUCAAACAGUGGUUCCAUUGGUCCUUAUCUCUCAGUACUGGUUAGGAAGGGCUUUGUUGCAACAAGAAAGUCAUUGCUUCCUGGACUCUUGUCACAAGAUGUACUGAACUCUGAGGUAAGUGCAAAAGAGAACACCUCAAAGCAAAGGUGGCAUAUGCAGAAUGGAGCCAGCAAUGCCAAGGUUUUCUGCUUUUGGUUGUUCACUGGGCAUUUUGGGGCCAGGUGGGGAAGAGUUGAUGCUUUGAGCAAAGGUAGCCUCUAAGCCAGUGGUUCUCAACUUGUGGGUCACGACCCCUUCACAGAGUUGCCUAAGGCCAUCAGAAAACACAGAUAUUCACAUCGCAGUUCAUAACAGUAGCAAUGUUACAGUCAUGAAGUCGCCAUGAGGAUAAUUUUAUGGCUGGGGGUCACCACAGCAUGAGGAACUGUACUAAAGGAUCAAAGCAUUAGGAAGGUUGAGAAGCACUGCUCUAAGUUCCUGUUCCCCCGGAGCAGCAGGAAGAAAGCAGGUGAGAAAGUCCCUUUUUAUUAAACUAUUAUUUUAAUCAUCAUAGAGCCAACACAGCCAGCCCAAGAUGACCGAAGACUGGAAACGAGUCCCAGACAUAGGUGGAUUAAAGCAAGGAUCAGCUCUGCUUUUGGGGCCGAGUGGAAGCAUGAUAGGAUGGGCCAUUAGGAGUGUCUGGGGUGGGGGAAGAAUGCACAAAUGUGGGAGGCAUCAAUCCACAGGCCUACAACUCAUUUACUGUAGCUGAUUGAGGGGUGAGGUUUGGAGCUGGGAAGUGGGAAAGAGCCAUGACAGAAGGAAAGAGAAGGGCACAUGGAGAAUGGGGCACCAGAAAGCCAAUAAACUGGGAAGUUGGAUAAAAUCAGCUUAGGCUUUGGACAUAUGAAUAUGUAUGGGUUUUAAAAGUCCUAAAAUAUAAAUUAUCCAACUUUCAAAUAAAAAUGUUAAGCAA